GAUGAACGCUGGCGGCGUGCCUAAUACAUGCAAGUCGAGCGAACGGACGAGAAGCUUGCUUCUCUGAUGUUAGCGGCGGACGGGUGAGUAACACGUGGAUAACCGACCUAUAAGACUGGGAUAACUUCGGGAAACCGUAGCUAAUACCGGAGAAUAUUUUGAACCGCAUGGUUCAAAAGUGAAAGACGGUCUUGCUGUCACUUAUAGAUGGAUCCGCGCUGCAUUAGCUAGUUGGUAAGGUAACGGCUUACCAAGGCAACGAUGCAUAGCCGACCUGAGAGGGUGAUCGGCCACACUGGAACUGAGACACGGUCCAGACUCCUACGGGAGGCAGCAGUAGGGAAUCUUCCGCAAUGGGCGAAAGCCUGACGGAGCAACGCCGCGUGAGUGAUGAAGGUCUUCGGAUCGUAAAACUCUGUUAUUAGGGAAGAACAUAUGUGUAAGUAACUGUGCACAUCUUGACGGUACCUAAUCAGAAAGCCACGGCUAACUACGUG
rnacentral:rRNA from 1 species